UGUCACCACUUAAACCGUCAAUGACGUUACAGAUGGAUAUCCCAGGCAAAUCGACUUCUGAGAGACAGGAUAAACUGACCUCAUCAUCUUCAACAUUUGAAAGUUGCAGUUCAGCCAUUAAUCGAUUUCACAUGACGAUUUAUAAGAAGACUCACUGAACUUCAUUUGCGAGUCCACACAACGGUGACCGGAAUCCUUCUUUUCAGGUGAUGGUUAUUGGGAAUGAUCAAAUUAUUGAAGGGGUGUAUGCAUUGUGCUACUUGUAGACUUGUAUAGGUUGUGUUACUGGGAAUGAUCUAGCUAAUGCAUUGCUAUAUCAAUAAAGGAAAUUCACCACCAAAUGCUAGAAAUCGUUCGUUCAGGGUUACAAUCAUGCCUUCAAAGACACUUAAUAGUCCAUGGUCAUCUCUUCUACCCGAUAUUCUACAAUCAUUUUGAAGCGAAGCAGAUUCACCACUUUAAUCCUGAGGACUCUCAAUUUGCCAAGCCACCGUCACGCCUGACGCCGCAGUCGUCUCUGUCAUGACAUUCGAUUCUUAACCAAUACAGACGGGGCAUGCAAUACAGGAACACAAAAGGGAAAGUCAAACAUUUAGUUUUAAACUGCACAAGCCGAUGCAAGUCCGUCACUACUCUGCCACUGCCUUGCCUGCAGUUGCUUCCCGUAAUGUCGAUAUUCAGUCCGCGGUCAACUUCAUCACCCAAUAGGUUCCCAAAGGCUUAUAUCGCCACAUUCAACAAGGAAUUCCAAAGAUCUUCCUCAUUAUUUUUCUCUAUUCAACAAGGAAUUCCAAAGAUCUUCCUCAUUAUUUUUCUCUUCUCAAAAUGUCAGUCAAGUACCGAUUCCAUCCCACCCCUGUUAAGUUGUUUUGUUUGUUGCAGGAGGCAAGGUUAAGCAGGUGAACGACCAGGUCUCGGUGGUCUGCAAGGGAAGUGAUGAUGGUGGUUCAAGAAGGAGCAAUAACCGAUUAGGGUUUUCAGGGUAACCGGGUGAAGAAGAUGACCGGUAAACCAAACCACGUGCACCCGUUUCUGCGAAGUUCGAGUUACAGUCCAAACUUCAGGGUUAUUUUGUUCUAUUUUACUCUGCCCAGAUUUGCCCUUUGCUUUAGAGAUUCUGUUCAACGAGUUAGUAAGCGUUUAAUUUCAUAGUCCUUUUUUAUGAUUUAUUUCAUUUGUUUUUUUUAGAUCAUGAACAGUUUCAGAUCUUGAACAAAACAACCCAAAGCAAAGAACGAACAUUGAAAGGUCAUGAAGGCCGCUACAUAGAUAAAGGCGUCGUAUAGGUUAGGGCGGCAACUGGCAACGGCAUACCGGGAAGACAAACAGACACAGACGCUGCAUCAUCUUCUUCAACGGUUUAUAUGUAAUCCGUCGCGAAAGAGAAUAUUGUUUUAGUUGGUGAUGUGGGCUAGGAACUGCGAAAGGACUGGUUUAUCUCCACGAGUACUAUAAGAUCAUUUUGUUCGUUUGCUGGCCACUAUAAGAUCAUUCAUUGGCGGUUCUUAAUUGCCGCUUCAUGUGAAAAAAGAAAAAGAGUACAUUAAGUUACAUGGAUGAUGUUCUCGUAAUGCAUGUGAUUUCCUUUGAUUGUCAUUUCAUGUUUCUCGAAUUGUCGCUUCGGUUAUCACAUUUUGUAGUUUGUUCAGUUUUUAUGUGUCGAUAUUAUGAUAUAGGAUCUAGCUUGUCAAGCUGAUUUCAUUUUUUGCGUAAAUUUAAAAUUUAUUUUUUUGGUUCUGUUUUGAGCUGUAAGAGAAGCUAGAAAUGAAGGCAGGCGUGGUGGACAUGGCGAUCACGGGUUCGGGCGUGAUGGCUGUCUCGGUCACAUUUUAUGUUUGUGAACUUCUUAAACAUGUUUCUGUACCUGAACUGUUACAUUUUUUAAUAGACAACAAGGUUCUCUGCUGCAUCAGAUGCCACACAGUUAAAUCAGGCAACUUUUGGAAUGGGUUUGGUUUGGGUGUGCUAAAACACUUUUUGGCAAAGAGCUUUAAGGCAACUGGAAGCAUUGGGAUAGUUUGGAGCAUAUACUUCAUAUCUAAUACUAACGGUAGCAGCAUUUUCUUCUCGAGGCCUGAAUAUAAAAGAUUAUAAAUUUGCCGACGCAGAUUAUUUGAAACUUGAAGCACCAGAUUCUUUGAACUGGGCUUUUUGGUCUCCAAAUGGAAUCGAUGAGCCUAAUUAUGAAGCAUGCAUGACACGAAUGCUCUAAUGUGUGAUAGUGGAUUGAAUUCAACAAAAAAUGUGAUUUAUCACUUUCAAGCCCGUUUCACUAUUCCUAAAUCCCUUGAGGCACACACCAGGAUGAAACCUUUAUUGGGUAAGGAAGAGAAGUCACAAGUAGUUGUUGUUUGCAACUUUAGGGGGUGUUUGUUUUUUCUUCUAACAUCUUCAAGGAGCUAAUGUCUGCAGGCGCGCAGACGUUACCCCUUGAAGACUGUUUGAUUUUUUUUUUUUUAAAAGAUCUGAAAAUAGCUUCUUUUAUCUUAAAAAAAAGCUAGAAAUCCUUUCUUCAAACAUCUUCAAACAUCAGAACUCAACAACUCUCCCAUCCUCCCCAAAUCUUCAAACAUCUCCUCCACCCUUCUUCUCUUC